AUCAUCCCCGUCUAAAGGCUCCGUCUUUAUCGCAACGUUUCCAGACUCCGGGGUAGCACAGGCAGGCGGACUGGCGGCCGCCAUCUUUACCAGGAAGCGGAAGUGACGUCGUCAUAAACGGGCGGGGCCUCCUGUCACUUUAAAUCCAAAUAAGCUGCUGCUGGUCACGCCCCCAAAUCAACGCUGACACUCGCAUUUGAAAACGGCUGCAUCAGAUGUUCAAUUAUUCAACCGUGCCUCUUUGAAAAGCACAAGUGGAGCCUCCUGCACAACCAGCAAGAAUGCAGCAAGUGGUUUCUGGAUGCGGACCUGGACUCAUUCGCUCUGUCAGGUGUUUCCAUCUCAGGGGCCGGAGGUGUCAAGGAAUCAGUCAAAGGCGGACAUGUUGGGGACGUAAAGGGAGGCCAAAGAGCCCCUAAUUGGACAAGCGAGACCGGUGGCGGUGAGGAAGACAGCCGACCUCACUGACCACUUCGUGACACGCCAUUUGCCUCGGAGGACCCCGACCGCUGGCCCGACAGAGCCAUAACUCCGGGCCGCCACCGCUGCGAGCAGCGCGGGCUAAUAAGGCGCUGUUAGAGACCAGGAGUCCAAACUUUUCACCUCUAUAGGAGCCGAAACUGAGUGGAAGACAGAAAGAGAUGCAAAAAACUCCCUGCAGCCGCAGAUCUCACACUUCACACCGCAGAAGAAGAAGAAGAAGCUGCACGUUUUUUUUUUGUUUUCUUUCAGGAUUGUGUCGCUGCUCGUUUCAUCAUCAGCCGAGCUGACACCGAUUUAUUUACAUGGCGCCGGGAACAGCAGAGGAAUUUGGAGGCAUGUUGGCUGGAAGAUCAGAAGCCCGGUUUAUAGAAAGGAAAGCAGCGCAAACAAACAACACCAAAGGCCUCUGGAGCCGCAAACACUCACCCACACACUCAUGAACACAGACACCCACACCUGUACACACACAGGUUUGAAGUUUGUCUGGAGUGGCAACCCGAAUAAAGCGUGUGAAGCGUGAUGCAAGAGGAAGGAGAGAAACCCGGCUUCAAACGGCUUUCAAUACAAUUGGCUGUGCCAGGCGCGGCAGUUUAACCUCUUUAGCGCGCUGGGUGUCUGCUAACUGGAUGUGACGCACCGUCUGCGGCGUCGCCUUCACAGAGACUCACACAGGCCUGAUGGGUACUGACACCCAAACUCAGCCCUAAUAAUAAGAAUAAUAAAGAAAACGCAACAAAUUCCUGAGAAUACACAAUAAAAAAAGUAAACAGGCUGUGAUGUGCAGAAGCGAUUCAAGUGGUUUCUCACUACAGAUGUCUCAACUUAGCCUGUUUAUGGGAAUCAACUUUCCCUGACUGCUCUCGUAACACUUUUUCCCCAAGAAUAUCAGCGUCUUCUUAAAGGACAAACGCGCCGCGCCGAAUAAUUCAUCGCAUUUGUAAACACUGACAGAAGUACAGAAGAUAAACAAACAAAUGAAAAAACCCACAACGCUUCACAUAUUUCUCCACAAACAAUUUAUAACUGGCAUCUCCAUCUGGGUUGCUGUUUUUAUAACUCUAAAUAAUGCACAAAAAAAAAGAAAAAAGCGUUUUAACCGAUUUUAAACCCCUCAGAUUGUUUUAAACACGCCUCCUGGGGUACGGCAAGUCGUUUUAAAUUAAAUUCAAACCACGCUAACUUUUUAAAUAUCAGAAGUAGUUUUCCUUCAAGCCAAAAUGACGAUGUUAUUAGUGACACUGAAGAUGUCGGAAAACAAUUCCUUCCAAAGUUUGAGUGGAAUUUAACCAUUUAAAUUCUACACUGUAAAAAUAAUAUAUUGUUAAAUUGAAAGCAUUUUUUUCUAGUUGAUCUUACGUUUUAAGUUAGCACACAGUAGAGCACCCACUCUGUGUAACUAAUGAGAGUGAAACUGAACACAGAUUCUUAAUUGGAAUAUGUCUGAACCUUGACUAGGCCAUUCCAACACAUGAAUGUGCUUUAAGUGAUUCCAUUGAAGGUCUGUAUGUUGAAAUAAGCUACAGUCGCGGUUCAGUAUUUGCACAUUUUUGUAUGGAUAUACAAUAUACAAACAACAACUAAUGAUUACACAAUUAUUUACA